rnacentral:lncRNA from 1 species
AAAAAACAAAGAAGUGAAAGUCACGUGAGUGACUUCCUUCCUUUUCUUUUCUUUUCUUUUUUAUUUUUAUUUAUUUAUUUUAUGCAUUUUGUUUUUAUUUAUUUAUUUAUUUAUUUAUUUGUUAAGCCUUUGUCCCCAAGUCUCAGCUGCAGGGGCAUUUUGGUCUUUGUUUUGUACCAGAGCCAACCCUAGUUUGUCACUAUAAAAACCCUGUCAAUCAUUGGGAAAUGGGCCAGAGAAGAAUCACUGUACACACAGAUCCAAAAAACCCUAAAAUUCUCUUUCAUCUAAUUUCAGAUCAAAUCACCCAAAAUCCACAAAAAAAAUCAUGAACAUGAAGAACAGAUAAAUUCCAGAAGCUCAAAUUCGAAGCUGUUCAUCACUAACAGCAACAAAUCCAAACCUC